rnacentral:rRNA from 1 species
UACGUAGGGUGCGAGCGUUAAUCGGAAUUACUGGGCGUAAAGCGUGCGCAGGCGGUUCGUGAUGUCUGGUGUGAAAGCCCCGGGCUUAACCUGGGAAUUGCAUUGGAAACUAGCGGGCUGGAGUGUGGCAGAGGGGGGUGGAAUUCCACGUGUAGCAGUGAAAUGCGUAGAGAUGUGGAGGAACACCGAUGGCGAAGGCAAUCCCCUGGGCCUGCACUGACGCUCAUGCACGAAAGCGUGGGGAGCAAACAGG